UACAGAGGUCUCAAGCGUUGUUCGGAUUCAUUGGGCGUAAAGGGUGCGUAGGUGGCGGGGUAAGUCAGGUGUGAAAUUUCGGAGCUUAACUCCGAAACUGCAUUUGAUACUGCCUUGCUUGAGGACUGGAGAGGAGACUGGAAUUCACGGUGUAGCAGUGAAAUGCGUAGAGAUCGUGAGGAAGACCAGUGGCGAAGGCGGUCUGCUGGGCAGUUCCUGACACUGAGACACGAAGGCCAGGGGAGCAAACGGG
rnacentral:rRNA from 1 species